UACGUAGGGUGCAAGCGUUAAUCGGAAUUAUUGGGCGUAAAGAGCUCGUAGGCGGUUUGUCGCGUCUGCUGUGAAAACUGGAGGCUCAACCUCCAGCCUGCAGUGGGUACGGGCAAACUAGAGUGCGGUAGGGGAGAUUGGAAUUCCUGGUGUAGCGGUGGAAUGCGCAGAUAUCAGGAGGAACACCGAUGGCGAAGGCAGAUCUCUGGGCCGGUAACUGACGCUGAGGAGCGAAAGCAUGGGGAGCGAACAGG
rnacentral:rRNA from 1 species